rnacentral:rRNA from 1 species
AUUGAACGCUGGCGGCAGGCCUAACACAUGCAAGUCGAACGAGUGGCGGACGGGUGAGUAAUGUCUGGGAAACUGCCUGAUGGAGGGGGAUAACUACUGGAAACGGUAGCUAAUACCGCAUACCAUCAGAUGUGCCCAGAUGGGAUUAGCUUGUUGGUGGGGUAACGGCUCACCAAGGCCACGAUCCCUAGCUGGUCUGAGAGGAUGACCAGGCACACUGGAACUGAGACACAGUCCAGACGCCUACGGGAGGAAGCAGAGGGGAAUAUUGCACAAUAGGCUAAAGCCUGAUACAGCCAUGCCGCGUGUAUGAAGAGGGCGUUGGGGUUGUAAAGUACUUUCAGCGGGGAGGCGUUACCCGCAGAAGAAGCACCGGCUGACUCCGUGCCAGCAGCCGCGGUAAUUC